UACGUAGGGCGCGAGCGUUGUCCGGAAUUAUUGGGCGUAAAGAGCUCGUAGGUGGCUUGUUGCGUCUGCCGUGAAAGCCCGUGGCUUAACUACGGGUCUGCGGUGGAUACGGGCAGGCUAGAGGCUGGUAGGGGCAAGCGGAAUUCCUGGUGUAGCGGUGAAAUGCGCAGAUAUCAGGAGGAACACCGGUGGCCAAGGCGGCUUGCUGGGCCAGUUCUGACGCUGAGGAGCGAAAGCGUGGGGAGCGAACAGG
rnacentral:rRNA from 1 species